rnacentral:snRNA from 1 species
GGAUAUGAAGGCAAUCUGGCUGGGACAUCUGUCACCCCAUUGAUCCCCCGGGUUGAUUCAGCUGAUUUGGCUGGCUAGGCGGUUUCCCUUUCCCUUUCCUCCUCAACGCACUCCAUGUGCGUCCCCCUAAAGCUGCACACUCCGUGGAAGAGGAAGACCACCCCUAAUAGAGAAGAACAGUUCUUCUGUCAAGGGUAUGUCAGUAGCUGAGUUCCCCUGCUAGCAACUCCAAACAAGCUCUCAAGGUCCAAAUUCACUGGAAAUGUAAGACAGGAGUUAAAAUGAGAUAUAUGUAAAGUAUUU